ACUGCAUCCAUAGUUUGAAGUUAAAAUGACUGCAUCCAUAGUUUGAAGUUAAAAUGAUAUAGUUUGCUCUGACUUAGAGAAUGUUGACUGAACUUGAUAGCUGUUUCAUUUUUAGAAAGGCCUGUCCCACAGUAAUACUGAUAUUUUCCCCCCAGUUUUAUUGAAAUGUAGUUGACAUACAUCAAUGAACAAACCUAAGGCAUAUAGCACAAUUAUUUGACUUACAUAUAUUGUGAAAUGAUUAACGCUAUGUUUAGUUAGCAUCCAUCACCCAAUGUGAUAAAAAGAAAGCAUGAAGAAAGAAAAAAAAAAAUGAAUUUUCCUUCGGAUAAGAAGUAUAGGAUGUGCUCUCCAUGCUUUUCACAUAUAGGAAGCAGCUUAACAAAGUAUUGGCCAUUAAUAUGAACCAAAAGAAGCUAUUAAACUUCCACAAACCUGGUUCCCAACUCAUAUAUUCUAAAAAGUGGAAUCUUCAGCUAUUUACUCACAUAAAACCUAUGUAAAUGCAUGCAGUAAAGACCCCCUGGGAGAUUUAUAUAACAACAUUUAUAAAGUCAGUUUUAGAAAGACAGAACAUGAUUUGUAUUUACUGCUUUGAAAUUUUAACCUGGGGAGUAUUUCCCUACUCUCCAUUAGAAGAAUGAUCCUAGAAACACAACUAGUCUGAAAUACUAAAUAUUGGAAGCAUCACCAGGAUUCCGGGAGACAGGAAAUGGGAAGAUAAUAGAGUGAUGGUAUGUUCAGAAAUAAAAGGGACUAUAGAGGUUUUCUAAAAUCUAUUUUAAAUUCUAACUCUUCACAUUUUUUUUUCCAGAGAAGAGUACAAUUCCAGAAAGAAAAAAAAUUUAAUAAAAGAUUCAUAAUCAGAAAGACACUUAUAGAAAUUUCAUGUCGGUGUAUUCUAAAUAAAUUAUCUUUAUUAUAAAUUAUAAACAGUUCCCGUGUUGGAAUAUCCCCAAUCAAUCCAUAGAACUCAUGAGACUAUCUGGAAGAUAGUGCUAUUUUUCUCUUUUUAUGGAAUGUGAUUAAAAUGUGUAACUAGUGAAAACAAUAUUACUUCAGUAGUUUGCACAUAUAAACCCCCAUUUCCACAUUCCUAAUUUUGUGUGUGUACAGCUUAGAUUAUUUACUUGGUAAACAUAUGCCAAAAUUUUUCAUUUGGAAUUUCUCCUCUCUUUAUAUCUUUAUGUUUGACACUCAUGCUGAAAUGAUCCUGGGGUGUUUUAUUUUAUUUAUUACUAUUUUUUUUCAUGUAUUCUGAGAUUUGUAGGCCACACCAGUUAUUCGAACCAAAUUAAGGUCAAUAAGUUCCUUCCAUUACAUGUGACACAUGGAAGGUGGGAACUUGAUCUUUUUGUAUUUAGAAUUGGUAGCUUUGUUUUUUGUUUGUUUUGUUUUUUUGUCUUUUUACCUUUUCUAGGGCAGCUCCUGCGGCCUGUGGAGUUCCCAGGCUAGGGGUCUAAUCAGAGCUGCAGCCACUGGUCUACACCACAGAUGGGAUCUGAGCCACAUCUGUGAUCUACACCACAGCUCUCGGCAACGCCGGAUCAUUAACCCACUGAGCAAGGCCAGGGAUCGAACCCACAAACUCAUGGUUCCUAGUCGGAUUCGUUAACCACUGCGCCACGAUGGGAACUCUUAGAAUUGCAAAGCAUGAAAAUGUAAAGACAGAGAGUGAGAGUCUUACGGCACACAUUGGAGUCAAGUUAGUUCCAUCCUUAAAUUUCCCAGUUACUGAGCAAAUGAAAUCUACCAUUUUACUCAAAGUUGAGAAUUAUUUUUAUCCUAUGCAACUAGAAAUAUACUGUGGCUCCUGUAAAUACUCAGACUAAGAGAACACAUUAAUUUAUGAAUUAUAUAUAUAAACUCCAAUCUAUUGCAGUAUGCUAAGGCAAAUGUAUGAAUGAGGAAACAACUGGUAACAUUUCCACAUUGUAUGACUUUUAUUUUUUUUUUCAUGAUAGCCUCUUCUGGUAAGUGACCUGUAGGAAUGAAGCAAAGUGUCAGUAUCAAUCAAUACUUCAAUAUUAGGAAAACUUCAUCAUGUUCUUGUUUUUUAAAUAAAACUUUACCUUUUUUUUUUCUUUUCGCACACAAAUGGGUCAUUUUGUGCUUAGCCAACUUUGAAAACUAUUGUGUAAUAAUAUAUUUCCUUAAACUUUUACAAUAAAAAAUACAUUUUUAUUUUUAGUUUUUGUAUAUCACUCAACAUUUCCUUCAACUAUUUCAAAAUCUGCACUAGAUUUUAAAAUCGAUUUCCUCUAAAUAUGUUUCAGUUUUCCAUUAGAACAAAUAAGACACCCCUAAUAAUCAAGUAUAAAUAUGUUUAUAGAAAAUACCCCUGGAGUUCAUCAAAGAUAUUGGCCUGGAAGUUCCCCGGUGGCUCAGUAGGUUAAGUGGGUUAAGGAUCCAGUGUUGUUACUGCUGUGGCUUAGGUCAUUCUUGUGGCACAGGUUCAGUCCCUGGCCUGGGAACUUCUGCAUGCUGUGGGUGCAGCCAAAAAAAAAAAAAAAAA
rnacentral:lncRNA from 1 species